GGAGUUGGUUACCCCAGCAGAAAAAAAGAUGGGGGUUAAGGGGAAUUGUGAGAGGCCGGUUGGAUGAUGUAUUGUCCAGGUCAAGAAAAGUGCACUGCAGAGGUCGCCAGAUGUUUGGGGGAAGGUGAGGGGUAGUGUCUUUUCUAAGGUACAUGCUCUCUGGUGGGCAUAAACAUGCAAUAUAAAGCUCUUCACACUUCACGUCCACUUCCAUACGUCCAUCCACAUGCUUCCACUGCAGACCUCCUCAGCUCUCAUCUUCCAGUGGUACGACUGUUUGAGCUGCAGCCUACACUUCCUGAGAAGCUCUUUUCUGCCCCAGUUUCUACUCAACGCCGGCAGCCUUCUAUACCACCAGAAAAGAAAACAAUCAUCAAACCUAUGUCUGCAUACUACACAGCUGAGGCCUUACACAUCUGCUUUACCAUCAAUGCCGUGUCUGGCACAGCAGCUGCAGUGGAUGUCCUACUUGGUUGAGCUUGUGGAAAUCUGUGGUCAUUCUGCAGGGUCCAUGUGGUUUCCAUAGCUGCCGGACUGGUGAAUCAAAUGGAG
rnacentral:lncRNA from 1 species